rnacentral:snRNA from 1 species
UUGCUUUGUCAGCAUAUAUACUAAAACUGAAACGAUACAAAAACGAUUACUGUAACCUUCAUGCAAGGAUGACAUAGAAAUUCUUAAAAUGUUUCAUAUUUUU